rnacentral:lncRNA from 1 species
AUGCUGGUCCCCGACGUGGGUGGCAGGGGUCCCAGUCGUUGGACCCCCUGCAGACGCCUUCCCAGGCACGUUGGCAGGAGGCUGGCUCUGAAGCCGCGCUCAGGCUGGGUAUGGGACGUGGGCAUCGCCUGUGGCGGCGUAACCACUGCGUCCUCACCGUUUCUGCGUGCUCAACGUCGUGUCACAGCAGAAAUGACCGGCGCGGUGUGCGGCAGCUCGGCUCUGAAGUCCAGUACUCAGGAACCCGCCCUCCUCUCCCUGGGCGGAGAGCCAUCGCGCACGCAUUCUGAAAGCGGAAUUCUGGGGCUGCCGGGGCACGACCAGGCUGCGGCCAGGAGCCAGGAGCUCCGCCUGGGCCUCCCGUGUGGGUGGCAGAGGCCCAGCUCUAGCCGUCACUGCUGCCUCCCAGGCACGUUAGCAGGAAGCUGGGUCAGAAGCAGAGUGGACGGGACUGGCACCGGGCACUCCGCACCGGCUGCCGAUGUCCCACGCGGCUUUGCCUACUGCGCCAUGCCAGCUGGGAGGAGGAUUUUAAGGGAAGAGCUCUGCUCUCUGAGGCCUUCUUCCCCCGCCAGCCUUGUGAUCCACCCACCCCCAAACCGGGACUCCACCUCCUGCCUCUGGACUGGACAGGGGGCUCCUGUGUCCUGUGCCAUGGAACCCACUCCUGUUCCGGAAGCCAGGACGGGGCGCAGGAAGGGAGGUGAGAGUUUUGGUCGUUUGAGGGGUGGCCUUGAGAGGAAGUGGGGUACCCGUCCUGCCUCACUCGGGACUCCCCAGCUCAGCUUGGACGACUCUGCCCUGAAACCAGGGGGUGAGCGUUCAGCUGCAGGCCCCUGGGCCCCGAAUCCCUGGUGCGUCUUCCAGGAGCGAGUGAGAAGACAGGGCCGUGGGAGAGACGCCCCAGACACUGCACAGAGCUCCGUGGUCUGGGCCAAUUUUGGGUAUUCCCGUGAAAGCUCGUGGGGCUCCCUUAAUGGUUUUCUCUUUGUGCAGAUGUGGGUGCGGCCUGUGAGGACGCGCAUAUCACCGCUGCCAACGGCGGUCACCUGCCCGGGGCUGCAGCUCUGGGGACCCUGGCCGGCAAGUGCAGCUCUGAGCCCCCUGCCUUCUGGCUGCGCUGGGCUCUGA